CUCCCGUGUCGGUAGGCUAAUACAUGCAGUCGACGAGGUGCCUUUGUACAAUACGAGGGUAUCCUAGUGGCGAACGGGUGAGUAACGCGUUGGUGACCUGCCCCAAAGUGUGGGAUAACAGUCCGAAAGGAUUGCUAAUACCUCAUGUGGCCAUCGGGUUUAGAAACCGAUGCCUAAAGCAGCAAUGCGCUUUGGGAGGGACCUGCGUCCCAUCAGCUAGUUGGUAGGGUAAUGGCCUACCAAGGCGACGACGGGUAGGGGACCUGAGAGGGUGGCCCCCCACAAUGGAACUGAAACACGGUCCAUACACCUACGGGUGGCAGCAGUAGGGAAUAUUGCUCAAUGGGCGAAAGCCUGAAGCAGCAACGCCGCGUGUGCGAUGAAGGUCUUCGGAUCGUAAAGCACUUUUCUGAGAGAUGAGAAAGGACAGUAUCUCAGGAAUAAGUCUCGGCUAACUACGUGCCAGCAGCCGCGGUAACACGUAGGAGGCGAGCGUUAUCCGGAUUCACUGGGCGUAAAGCGCGUGCAGGCGGUUUGAUAAGUUGGGCGUGAAAGCUCCCGGCUCAACUGGGAGAGGUCGUUCAAUACUACCAGACUAGAGAGCAGAAGAGGAAGAUGGAAUUCCCGGUGUAGUGGUGAAAUGCGUAGAUAUCGGGAGGAACACCAGUGGCGAAGGCGAUCUUCUGGUCUGUUUCUGACGCUCAGACGCGACAGCUGGGGUAGUAAACGGGGUUAGAGACCCCGGUAAUCCUAGCCGUAAACGAUGUGAACUUGGCGUUGGUGGCUUAAACACCAUCAGUGCUGAAGCAAACGCGAUAAGUUCACCGCCUGGGGACUACGGCCGCAAGGU
rnacentral:rRNA from 1 species